AAAUUUCUCUCACACAUUUCUCGGUUGAUUUUGCUGUAGCAUCUUGAUGAAGAUGCAUGGUUAAUUUCCUUAUCAAUUUGAGGAAUGGAAUUUUUUCCCAUCCCCACUUAUUACUUAUGACUCCGUGAUCCGUUUCAAGAGGAUGGUAGAAAUAGAAUCCUCCUUUCUUGAAAAACAUAAUGAUUUACAAAGAAUUUAACCUUCUUCCAUCCAUUAGGAGGAGUACUUCAGAAGAAGUUUAUCUAAGUAUGUCUUGAAUCACAAACAAGGAUAUAGCCCAUGUUGCAAUGCAUGGAAAUUCAGC